CCUACGGAUGGCUGCAGUGAGGAAUAUUGGUCAAUGGGCGGAAGCCUGAACAAGCCAAGUAGCGUGCAGGAUGACGGCCCUACGGGUUGUAAACUGCUUUUAUACGGGAAUAACGCGCCUUACGUGUAGGGCUUUGCAUGUACCGUAUGAAUAAGGACCGGCUAAUUCCGUGCCAGCAGCCGCGGUAAUACGGAAGGUCCGGGCGUUAUCCGGAUUUAUUGGGUUUAAAGGGAGCGUAGGCCGCAUGUCAAGCGUGCUGUGAAAUGUCCGGGCUCAACCCGGGCCUUGCAGCGCGAACUGGCGUGCUUGAGUCCGCGGAAAGCAGGCGGAAUUCGUCGUGUAGCGGUGAAAUGCUUAGAUAUGACGAAGAACCCCGAUUGCGAAGGCAGCUUGCUGCAGCGGAACUGACGCUGAUGCUCGAAAGCGCGGGUAUCGAACAGGAUUAGAUACCCUAGUAGUC
rnacentral:rRNA from 1 species